rnacentral:rRNA from 1 species
UACGUAGGGUGCGAGCGUUAAUCGGAAUUACUGGGCGUAAAGCGUGCGCAGGCGGCGCGUUAAGACAGGUGUGAAAGCCCCCGAGCUUAACUUGGGAAUUGCGCUUGUGACUGGCGUGCUGGAGUGUGGCAGAGGGAGGUGGAAUUCCACGUGUAGCAGUGAAAUGCGUAGAGAUGUGGAGGAACACCGAUGGCGAAGGCAGCCUCCUGGGCCAGCACUGACGCUCAUGCACGAAAGCGUGGGAGCAACAGG